GGGGGGCCGGGGUUGUCCGUAGGGCAUCAUCCCCUGGGGGGUCUGGGGGGGGUACAGCAGCCCCGGGGCCAGACCCUGCGCGGGUCCCGGCGGGGGUCCCCCCUUCCCCUCGGGCAGCGCGGGGCGUUUGGGGUCCUGCAGGAAGUUGUUGAAGAACAGCACCUCUUUGCGCACCUCGGCGAUCUUCUCGCUGUGCUUAUUGAAGAUGUGCUUCCGCACGAACUCGGGGCCCUUGAACUUCUUCCCGCUGAGGGGGCACAGCCACUUGUCCUUGCCCAGCUCCUGUGUGUUGGCGGUGACGAACUUCUCCACCUCCUGCUCGGGGUCUUUCCUUCCCAGGCGCAGCGCCUCCUCCUCGGGCAGCGCCUCCCGCCCCGCCAGCAGCGGCCCCAAACGCUCCUCAAAGCCCUUCUGCCAUUCGGCCAC
rnacentral:lncRNA from 1 species